ACAGCAGCCGCCACGGGAAUACGUAGGUGGCAAGCGUUGUCCGGAAUUAUUGGGCGUAAAGGGCUCGCAGGCGGUUUCUUAAGUCUGAUGUGAAAGCCCCCGGCUCAACCGGGGAGGGUCAUUGGAAACUGGGAAACUUGAGUGCAGAAGAGGAGAGUGGAAUUCCACGUGUAGCGGUGAAAUGCGUAGAGAUGUGGAGGAACACCAGUGGCGAAGGCGACUCUCUGGUCUGUAACUGACGCUGAGGAGCGAAAGCGUGGGGAGCAAACAGGAUUAGAUACCCCUGUAGUCCCUGUCUCUUAUAC
rnacentral:rRNA from 1 species